AACAAAUCUCGAGCCUGGCUCGGUAUUGGACCUAGGAUGCUACAUCGGGUCCCAAAUGCGUCGGCUAUAAAUUAGUAAAUGGGGAGUGCUGUAGCAUGGUGCCGUAAUUAUCGACAAAUAAAUACUGGCGCGGAGUUUGUAGGCCCCUGCCUUGCGCGUUCGCAUCGGUGACCCGGACCGAACACAAGU
rnacentral:misc_RNA from 1 species